rnacentral:snoRNA from 1 species
UCCAGCUGAAGGCAACUGCCUUGGUUGCCUUGUACCAAGGCAAGAGUUUCCCUGCUGGGAGAAAAGCAACCAGUAGCUGGCAGGCCUCCUGGUCCUGGUUAAUGCCUAAUUUGUGUUAACUAU